AUGAAAAUAAUUAGAAGAGAGAGACAUUAAUUGGGUUAUAAAAAUAAAAAUAAAAAGGUUAGGUUUUAUAUAUAUGGGUGAGAGUCUCCUGUGCUUUUGCUGUCUCUUUCUCUUUCUCUAUCACUGCUUGCUUUAGCUUACGUUCUGUAUCCAUUUUCCUCUCUCUCUCUCUCUCAAACUCGGGUUUGUGCUGAGAGAACCAAGGGUUUCUUCCCUUGCAGAGAAGAAAAUUUGGUUCAGAUCGAAAGUUAUACAUGCAUGGUUUUAUAUAUUGUUCUUUCAUCUUUCUCAGAUAUGGUUCGAAAUGAGAGAUUGGGGUUGAUGGGAAUGUUGUUUGGCUCGAGGUAACUAUGCAUGGUCUUAAUUUUGUUCAUCUUUGAAGCUUUAAUUUAUGGGUUUCGAUCUCUUUGAUCCCUUGAAACAAAGAAAGCUUUAAAGGUUGGAUUUUGAGGCUUUCUCGGACCAGGCUUCAUUCCCGUAAACCUUAUCUCUCUCUCUCUCUCUAGAGAUCUUCUCCCAUGGAUGGCUUAUGGUGGUAAUUAAUUAAGACAUUGCAUGGGACAAAACUUGAAACAUUUGUCAAAAACUCUGUUGAACAAGAUGCCUUUGACCUUGUAGUUGGUGCUUUGUUUGUCAUCUUUCUUAUGGCUCCAUUAUACUUAUAUAUCUUCAUUUCUUUCAACACCUCUCUCGUGAGUUAAUUUAACGGUUGAGACUUGAGAUUUGUGCUAAAAGGAUCAGGCUCCAAAAUCUUUAUAUUUUUCUUGGAUUAUGAUUAGUGAGUGAUUGAUAUUAGUUUUUUUUAAGUUAAAUAAUAUGCGUUGAGAAACCCAAGGAACUUUGAAAUUUUGUAUUUUGUCAGUAUAUAGGUUUCCCAGCUGUAGCAUCUUUAGGGUUUGAGAUUCGUAACCAUCUUUACUUCCUGUCAAGUUUCAGUCCAAGUAGCUGGCUUCAUUUUUUUCAGGUAAUAACAUAUAUUUCCUUUCUCUAUACAAUACUUCUUCACAUACAUCUUUUCAUAAUUAUUAAUUUGUAGUAUUAUUUUAGUUUGUGACCAGAGAAAAGUGCUGAGAAGAUGCAUGAAGUUAAGAUCAAUGGAUCUAAAUUAAAACAUAACAAAAUGGGCGACAUAAUAUAUACAUUUCCUUUCAUUUGUUGGUUAAUUAUCCCCUCAUCGUUUUUCUUGCUUGUUUCUUUCAAUAAGAGGCAAAAGAGGGAGGGUGGUGGUGGUGGUGGUUGGGCUUGGAAAAUUGUUAUUUCUACCAACAUUUUAAAAAAUGUCAGUAACAUCAAUUUCAAUCACAAUAUCAAGCCUUGUUGGCGAUUGCAUCUUGUGGUGACAUCAUCGGUCAUAUUUAUCCACAAUGUCAAGAAUCACAACCACACUUUAAAACCUUUAUACAAAUUUCCUAAACAUGAUUCAGUUUU